AAUCUACCUUAGUUACAGGGAUAGCCCGAGGAAACUCGGAUUAAUACCUGAUAUUCUUUACAUUUCGCAUGAAAUCAAAAGGAAAGGUCAGCCGAACUAAGAUGAGCUCGCGUUCUAUCAGCUAGUUGGUGAGGUAAAAGCUCACCAAGGCAACGACGGAUAGCUGGUCUGAGAGGACGAUCAGCCACACUGGGGCUGAGACACGGCCCAGACUCCUACGGGAGGCUGCAGCAGGGAAUAUUGCGCAAUGAGCGAAAGCUUGACGCAGCGACACCGCGUGUGGGAUGACGGAUCUNAGGUUGUAAACCACUUUCAGGAGGGAAGAAAAUGACGGUACCUCCACAAGAAGCCCCGGCCAACUACGUGCCAGCAGCCGCGGUAAUACGUAGGGGGCGAGCGU
rnacentral:rRNA from 1 species